rnacentral:tRNA from 1 species
GGUGGGGUUCCCGAGCGGCCAAAGGGAGCAGACUCUAAAUCUGCCGUCAUCGACUUCGAAGGUUCGAAUCCUUCCCCCACCAC